GACGAACGCUGGCGGCGUGCUUAACACAUGCAAGUCGAACGGAAAGGCCCUGCUUGCAGGGUGCUCGAGUGGCGAACGGGUGAGUAACACGUGGGUGAUCUGCCCCUUACUUUGGGAUAAGCCUGGGAAACUGGGUCUAAUACUGGAUAGGACCAUGCUGUAGGUGGUGUGGUGGAAAGAUUAGUUUCGGUAAGGGAUGAGCUCGCGGCCUAUCAGCUUGUUGGUGGGGUAAUGGCCUACCAAGGCGUCGACGGGUAGCCGGCCCGAGAGGGUGGACGGCCACAUUGGGACUGAGAUACGGCCCAGACUCCUACGGGAGGCAGCAGUGGGGAAUAUUGCACAAUGGGCGCAAGCCUGAUGCAGCGACGCCGCGUGGGGGAUGACGGCCUUCGGGUUGUAAACUCCUUUCAGCCAUGACGAAGCCCUUGUGGUGACGGUAGUGGUAGAAGAAGCACCGGCUAACUACGUG
rnacentral:rRNA from 1 species